UACAGAGGGUGCGAACGUUGCUCGGAAUUACUGGGCGUAAAGCGCGUGUAGGCGGUCCGCUAAGUUGGUAGUGAAAUCCCAUGGCUCAACCAUGGAAGUGCUGCCAAAACUGACGGGCUGGAGUGCCGGAGAGGGUGGCGGAAUUCCCAGUGUAGAGGUGAAAUGCGCAGAUAUCGGGAAGAACACCCGUGGCGAAGGCGGUUCUCUGGGACGGUACUGACGCUGAGACGCGAAAGCGUGGGGAGCAAACAGG
rnacentral:rRNA from 1 species